CAUGCAAGUCGAACGGCAGCACGGGAGCAAUCCUGGUGGCGAGUGGCGAACGGGUGAGUAAAGUAUCGGAACGUGCCCAGUCGUGGGGGAUAACGUAGCGAAAGUUACGCUAAUACCGCAUACGAUCUAUGGAUGAAAGCGGGGGACCGCAAGACCUCGCGCGAUUGGAGCGGCCGAUAUCAGAUUAGGUAGUUGGUGGGGUAAAGGCUCACCAAGCCGACGAUCUGUAGCUGGUCUGAGAGGACGACCAGCCACACUGGGACUGAGACACGGCCCAGACUCCUACGGGAGGCAGCAGUGGGGAAUUUUGGACAAUGGGCGCAAGCCUGGUCCAGCCAUGCCGCGUGCAGGAUGAAGGCCUUCGGGUUGUAAACUGCUUUUGUACGGAACGAAAAGGUUUGGCCUAAUAAGCUGAGUUCAUGACGGUACCGUAAGAAUAAGCACCGGCUAACUACGUGCCAGCAGCCGCGGUAAUACGUAGGGUGCGAGCGUUAAUCGGAAUUACUGGGCGUAAAGCGUGCGCAGGCGGUUAUGUAAGACAGAUGUGAAAUCCCCGGGCUCAACCUGGGAACUGCAUUAGUGACUGCAUAGCUGGAGUACGGCAGAGGGGGAUGGAAUUCCGCGUGUAGCAGUGAAAUGCGUAGAUAUGCGGAGGAACACCGAUGGCGAAGGCAAUCCCCUGGGCCUGU
rnacentral:rRNA from 1 species